CGACUGUAUGAUUAUACGCCUCAGUGCAUGCAGAAGCCAACGUGUUCCGAUAGUAAGCUUCUGAGUAGCUAAAUUAACCAAAUUCACCGGGAUGCCGAAGUGCACGGAAUCCGAGGCUUCACUGCAACGUAUCUCUCGCUUCCUGCUUCGACAGCUUCUCCUCAAAGAUUCACGGUACACUGGCAUUCUGGCAUCGGAAUGCAGCCGCCAUGAACUCGCCCUCUAAGCAGCGCAAGGCCACUACGCAACCACGGCGGAUACUACAAGGAGUAUUUUGUCAUAUCGACUCUCAAGCCGCUCUCACAAUCAGUCAACCGAACACCAUCAAUCUUCAGGAGAGACUCCGUCGGACCUCCGGUAGCAGGAAUCCUCACCUACGAACAUCAUUGGAGCUCAGAGGAAAAGAUAAAUAACGUACUUUCUUCGAGUCUUUGUAAAUACA